GCCUGGGUGGCUCAGUUGGUUGAGCAUCUGACUCUUGAUCUCAGCUCAGGUCGUGAGUUCAAGUCUCUCAUUGGGCU
rnacentral:tRNA from 1 species